UCCACAUCCGGGUCCUGCGCUGUUGCUGGUGUGCAGAGAUUCGGUCCCGACCAUAGCGGACCAAAACAGCGGUCAAACCCGACACUUUCCAUUUCCACCAACAUUCAGGACGUAGAAUAAAUGGGAAUGAUGCAUCCCUGGUUUAAACAGAUAUGGGUGAUCCGCUGUUUCAUUGACUGAAUGCAGAGCAAAACAGUCCGCCAGCCUGUCUCUCUCUCACCACCGCCGCGCUCGCUUUAUCUCUCUCUCUUUCUUUUCGUCCUUCUCUCUAAUCUGAUUUUUACCUCCUCCACUACCGAACUCUCCAGGACUGAUUUUUAGGGGAUUCCUAAGCAGCAGAGAUGGGUGCAUUUCUGGAUAAGCCAAAGAUGGAGAAACAUAAUGCUCAUGGGGAUGGCAACAGUCUUCGCUACGGCCUGAGCAGCAUGCAGGGCUGGCGUGUUGAGAUGGAAGAUGCGCACACUGCUGUCAUCGGCCUGCCCAACAGUCUGGACCUCUGGUCGUUCUUUGCUGUUUAUGAUGGCCACGCGGGAUCACAGGUGGCACGUUACUGCUGCGAGCACCUUCUGGAGCACAUCACCAGCAACCCUGACUUCCAGGGCGGAGGCGGAGGAGGGGGACCAGCCGUGGAGCCCAGUGUGGACAGCGUGAAAUCGGGAAUUCGCACUGGUUUCCUUCAGAUCGACGAUCACAUGCGGCAGAUUUCAGAAAAGAAGCAUGGUGGAGCUGACCGCAGUGGCUCGACGGCUGUCGGAGUGAUGAUUUCACCUCGCCAUAUCUACUUUAUCAACUGCGGAGACUCGCGCGGGUUGCUGAGCCGCGGAGGGGCGGUGCACUUCUUCACACAGGACCACAAACCCAGCAACCCCCUCGAGAAGGAAAGGAUCCAGAACGCUGGAGGGUCUGUGAUGAUCCAACGUGUCAAUGGGUCUCUGGCGGUGUCCAGGGCUCUGGGGGACUUUGACUAUAAGUGUGUACAUGGUAAGGGUCCCACGGAGCAGCUGGUGUCGCCGGAGCCCGAGGUCUGUGCUAUCGAGCGGUCAGAGGCGGAGGAUGAGUUUAUUGUUCUCGCUUGCGAUGGGAUCUGGGAUGUGAUGGCCAAUGAGGAGCUGUGCGAUUUUGUUCGUUCACGACUUGAGGUGACCGACGAUCUGGAGAGGGUCUGCAAUGAGAUUGUGGAUACCUGCUUGUACAAGGGAAGUCGUGACAACAUGAGCGUUGUGCUGGUGUGUUUCGUCAGUGCACCGAAGGUUUCCCCUGAAGCUGUUAAAAGGGAAGCGGAGCUUGAUAAAUACCUAGAGAGCCGAGUAGAAGAGAUCCUGAAGAGGCAGGGAGAAGAAGGUGUGCCCGACCUGGUACAUGUGAUGCGCACGUUAGCAUCUGAGAGCAUCCCAAACCUACCCCCUGGAGGAGAACUGGCCAGCAAGCGGAGUGUAAUUGAAGCAGUAUACAACAAACUCAACCCAUACAGGAACGAGGAUACAGACUCUGCAUCCACGGAUGACAUGUGGUAGCCCUGCCCCUUUAAACACUGCACAGAGUUUACAACCCUCCAGAACCCUGCACAACAACCUUUCCUCCAGGACCCGGCACCAGAACCUGCACAAAAACCCUCAACUACUACAGGACCCGCACAAGAACCCCUACCGCAGCCCGGCUCCGCUGCUCUGGACUGUUUGGAAAGAGGAGGAGGAGGAGGAGGAGGAGGAAGAGGAGGAGGAAGGGAACGAGGGCUCCCUCUCUUUGUUCACAUAAUGUUCCCUCUCAAUGCAAGGCAAUGGUACCUUCUGGAAAUUUUCUGCAUACUCUUGUCAUCACUCUCUUCCUGAAACCUUUUAUUCUUAACACCACCAUCUUAAAAAACAAAACGAAAACAAAAAAAAUCCAACACUUGUUUUUUUUUUUAAUUCAUUGCAUUUUUUUGUUGGUGUAAUUAAUUUGAUUCACAUUUCCUCGUGUGUUUGUAUAUUUCAGCUUUUAUUUCUGUGAAGUGCAAUUGUCUUGUACAAAGAAAAGCCUGUAUCAAAUGCAGCUUGAGUUUUAAGUUUAAAAACAAAAAAAGAAAAACAAAAAAGGUGCCCUGCCUGCUUUUCGUUUCCUCUCCAAACGCUGAAGCCCAACACCUCUGCCUCUCGUCUGCCUCCCCAUUUCCUUUCCUUUCAUUUCUUUUUAAAUUUUUUUUUUAAUCAAAAUAUAACUUUUUGUAUUGUUACUUGUUAAGUGAAACGGGUAAAUGAUAUGGGCUCACGGCACAGUACAGUAAGCUUUUUUGUAAAUCUCACAGCACAGAUGACCGUAAUCAUUAUGUUCAUUCAGUACUACUGCUUUUUUUUCUGGUGGGGUGGGUCUUUUUGUUUUGUCCCUUUGAUUUGUUGAGGAAACCGCUUUAACUAACUUAAACUAAGCUGAAAUUGUGUGCAUGUUUAUGUGGGUGAGAGAACUAGAGAUGAGGAAUGAAUGAUUGUGUGUGUGUGUGUGUGUGUGUGUGUGUGUGUGUCUAUAGAAAAAAAUUGAGAUCAUGUGAAAAUACUCAGUUUCAUUGGAUAUACAAUUAAUAUGUUA